rnacentral:tRNA from 1 species
GGGGAUAUAUAUCGUUAUGGAGGCGAACAAGACUGUAAAUCUUGUCUUAUAGGGUCUGUGGGUUCGAUUCCCUCUAUCCCCACCA